UCAGUCUCCUACCACCGUAUCUUUCAUAAAAAUAGUAAGUACAUCUCUAUACUCCUCACUUGCAUGUUCAGAAAAUUCAAUGUAAGACCCCCUUGCCUAAACUUUAAAGGCUGUUGUUGCACAGUAAUAAGGGACUAGAAUUUAACCCACCAUAUGAAGGUAUAUAUAUUUUUGUUAAAGCCCUGGUGUUGAAUCGAGAAGAGCAACUUGGUGAAAUUGGAGAAGAGCAACUAGGUCAAUGCAGCUGGUGAUCUCUGUGCUAUUUGCCAGGAGAAGAUGCAUGCCCCAAUCUUACUUCGUUGUAACCACAUUUUCUGCGAAGACUGUGUAUCAGAAUGAUGAUCUUUGUUGCAGAUGAUCUCGGAGUUUCUCAGGACAAGAUACAUUUCUCUUGCCAGCAUAGGUGGUGGACUUGAUGACUGCAGAAUAACCUCAUCCGGCGAUGGUGGUGAUGCUGAGCCCGGGGAGAUUGAUAGCAAACGGGAUAUCCCACUGCCAUCUAUAGGGAAACGGUUUUCCCUAGAAUAUAUCUCAUUCUCAUUUGCCAAACGAGCCUUCUCAGCCAGAAGUGUCUCCAGUUGAAGCCGGAUCUGAGAAAACCACAAAUACAAAAGUCAGAGGAAGGGGUGAAAGAAAAAGCAAGAGAUGGUUGAUGCGUAGCAGCAGAGGCUUUGAUGGCUUGAGCAGCAAGUGAUGGUGAAGAUAAAGAGAAGGAAGGUGGAAGCCCUUGAUAGACCUUGUCUUCUUCUGUAUGCCAUGCUAUUUCCUACCACAACCUGCGAGAUCACAAAAACCAGGAACGAAACUUCUGAUUCAGAUUCAACAACUGCCACAACCAACUCUUUCC